rnacentral:rRNA from 1 species
UACGUAGGUGGCAAGCGUUGUCCGGAAUUAUUGGGCGUAAAGCGCGCGCAGGCGGUCCUUUAAGUCUGAUGUGAAAGCCCACGGCUCAACCGUGGAGGGUCAUUGGAAACUGGGGGACUUGAGUGCAGAAGAGGAAAAUGGAAUUCCACGUGUAGCGGUGAAAUGCGUAGAGAUGUGGAGGAACACCAGUGGCGAAGGCGACUUUCUGGUCUGUAACUGACGCUGAGGCGCGAAAGCGUGGGGAGCAAACAGG